rnacentral:rRNA from 1 species
CCUACGGGUGGUAGCAGUGGGGAAUAUUGGACAAUGGGGGCAACCCUGAUCCAGCCAUGCCGCGUGUGUGAAGAAGGCCCUCGGGUUGUAAAGCACUUUCAGUGAGGAAGAACGCCUGGUGGUUAAUACCCAUCAGGAAAGACAUCACUCACAGAAGAAGCACCGGCUAACUCCGUGCCAGCAGCCGCGGUAAUACGGAGGGUGCGAGCGUUAAUCGGAAUUACUGGGCGUAAAGCGCGCGUAGGUGGCUUGAUAAGCCGGUUGUGAAAGCCCCGGGCUCAACCUGGGAACGGCAUCCGGAACUGUCAAGCUAGAGUGCAGGAGAGGAAGGUAGAAUUCCCGGUGUAGCGGUGAAAUGCGUAGAGAUCGGGAGGAAUACCAGUGGCGAAGGCGGCCUUCUGGACUGACACUGACACUGAGGUGCGAAAGCGUGGGUAGCAAACAGGAUUAGAUACCCUAGUAGUC